CUCCCCCCAUCUCAAUAUCUCUCUCUCUCUGCUAAAAUAGAAGACCUGAUGUGAAUAAUUUAAAGUCCAUCCCUUUCCUUUCUUGGUUCUUACACCAAGCCGAUCACUGCGACCAUGUCCAAAAGGAUAAGCUAUUCCUGUCCCUGAGGACUGUUGCCUUCUUAGGAAAGUGACCUUUAGGGUCUGCAGACAGGCCAGGACAAAGGGUCCAGGAGGGAGAGAUAUCCAGCCUUGGUGCAAGCAGGCCAGCCGCUCGCUAGACUCUUCCUGGGGACACUUGAGGACGCUCCCACCCCCACCACAACCCAACUUGGAUGCUCAUCAUUCCAGUGCCCAGCUUUGAUCUUUUUCCCUUUUCUCUUUGGGGACCACUGUGUGGAGAGCUGGACUCACUGUGCUUCUUCUCCUGCUGCCUCCAUCUGAUUAAAGAUUUCAAAAGGGAAGUGAACACCAAGGGGGGAGAUGAAUAAAGGCAAGGCAGCCACCUCCACAAAGCUGAAUACAUCUAAAGCAAAUGAUCAUCUCUCUACACCAAAACUGGGCUUCAACGCUGCCUAUGUUAGCCCAAGAAAGCAGUGAGAGAACACAGGUGACCCUCAGCAAGCUACUUCACUCAAGAGCCCACCCCCAUCUGGAUGCCAACUUAAAACUUGAGUCCUUGAGCUUCCGAUAACUUGCAGACAGCUCCGCCAAAGAAACUCCUCUCCUUCACAAAUGCUAUUUUUAUAACCUCAGGGUACGACCUGAUGCAUCUUGAGUCUCCUGAUCCCUGUAAGCUCCCUGCGCUUCCGGACUCUUAUGAGUCAGCUUGCCCCUUUAGGAGGGAAGGCUUCAAUUUGGAGGAAGUAGCUACACAAAAGGGAAAGAUUGCCUUCCUUUGGAGACACGGCAGUGGGCCUUGGGGCUGAGGGCUUCCUCUACCUUGGGACCAGAAGAGGAGCGGUGGUGGUAUUAGAUGUCUGGCUGUGUCCCCUUCAUGGUUUGUACUGGACUUGUCUGUGGGAAAGCUUUCAUGUUGACUGUCCAUGGUCACUGCCCUAAUUAACACUGAGGUUCUAGGGACACUUCAGUCAGGUGAAAUGUAACACCCCAGAAGCUAGAGGGCUGAGCGUUGGCAUCCCCCCAUGGUAACUGACUGAAACACAUAGGUUUCCAGCAGCAGCCAGCAGCCUUAGCCCCUCUAGAUGUGACAAGCACACAUACCUCACUUAGCCCACCACAGAACAGAGCAUGGGACAUCCCAAGGGCAGGCUGGUCCUAAAGCAAGGACACAAGACCCGCUCACCAAGCAGAGAACCCUGCACCAAGCAGGAUGCACUAGGGAGGAAGGAGGACUUCUGACUCUUUCAGGCCAGGAGAGCAUGUUGGACAAAUACCUCCCUCUCACUCUGCUUGCAUUUAAUGCCCAAGACCCAAAGGGUAGUAUCUUCACCCUAGUCACAGAGGCAAACCAAGCCACCUUCUGUGCCACUACCUUCCAAACCAGGACCACCUUUCUCUACCUGGUCAUUGCCACCUCCAGCAGCAUGCUUGAUAAAUGCAGUUGUCUGGUUGGUUGGUUGGUUGGUUGGUUGGUAGGUUGGUUGGUUGAUAGGUUGGUUGGUUGGUUGGUUGGUUGGUUGGUUGGUUGGUUUUUUGUUUACAGCCAGUUAACUUCCUCCAUCACCCCUCACCUCCACACUUCUGCAGCCAGUGCUGCAUCACACAUGGAAGGCUGGAUGCUCAGCCGUCAACCUCAACAAGGGGUUUACACUCCCCACAGAUGCUUUCUCCUCCAAGGGCUUUGACGUUUCCCAACCCCCAGGCUAUCUGUUCCCUGGAGCCUGACGUCUCCUCUCUUGAUCCUGGUAGAAAUGUCUCCUUCUCGGUUCCCCUUUCUCCAUUACUCUUUUCCUAGAAUUCUCACCACUAGCAACCACGCUGUAGCCCCAUCCUGGACCCCUGCCACCAUGCCCUGCCCUCAUUACAGGUUUCUCUAUCUCCCUGUUAGCCUGUGAGAAAAUGGGAAAGCCCAGACCCUUCCAGGGGUUCUCAGGCAGGUUAGUCAGGUCCUCAUCCAUAAAUCUAUCAGCAGGAGGAUCCUCGAGAUUCCUGGGCUAUGUGCACCACUCCAUCCCCUCCAUGGGGAGCCUGCUUCUCUCUCUGCACCCAGCCGCAGGCCCUGUACCCAUUCUGGAUCGUGUUGUCACUCAGCCCAUUCAGAUGGAACUCCGGGAAGUCCCGACAUGAAACUUGGUAGGCACCUGUCUUUGGCUGGUCUCACAGGGACUAUGUUUUGCUUCCAUGGUGCCUGGACACAGGCAAAGUGGUCCUCUUGGGCCCCAGCAGUUAGCCCUGCACUCUGGAUGACCUCUGCACUUCUGGAAUACCUCCUUCCUCCUCAGGACCUGCUAGCUCCCUCGCUGCACUGUCUCAGCUACCUUCAUGCCAGUUCUGGUGCUGUCUCUGCCCAGCCCCCCUCCCAGCCACCCCCCAGCAGAGACUGGCACCACCUCCCAGCUCUCAGGUGGGAUGGCUAAGGCCCAGCAUCUAGCUAGGUAAGGCUGUGGCCCGCUGACCCAGUCUGUGAGCACUGGACUGGCGCCAGGAGGACUAGAGGUCACCUUUGACCUUCCAGCAGUGACAUCUUGUUAGAGGAAUGACUUGAUGCUCCCAAGUCUACAUCCUCUCUCUUCUGCAAAUAGCCAAGUGCCUCCAGCUGGUGGGUAAUUGUCAGAAAAUAAUUUGCCCCAAGGUCACUUGCUGCUUAAACAGCUGGCUCUGUCUUUUCCGGUUUGGCUUGGUCUGAAGUCCCUGGUCCUCCCCCAUUCCCUGCUGCUGUCAUCUUUCACACUCAGCUGCUGAGAUUUUCAGUGGGGGAGGAAGGGCUUCUCACUGCCGGUUAACUUUGGCCACGUCUUGAGUCUGCUUUUUCUUCAAGACUAUUCUGAGCAUAGCCUCAUAUCUCCAUGAGUCCCGGCCCUCCUGGACCAGCACCUUAACGGUUAUGUGGUGGUCUGCUGGCAAGCCUUGCAAACUGAUUUUGUUUUUGCUUUUAAAUCUCAUGUGCAGAAUGGUGAGGGGGACCAAGGAGGAGCACUUUGGUAAAGCUUCCUUGUUUGUGGCAGAGUCCACACAGCAGCGCAAGUCUGAGAUGGCAAUUUUAUAAAAGUCUUAAAACUGACCUCAAAGAUAGCAAAAUAGAUGCCGAGCUGCCGCCCUGCGUCAUUUGCCCCUGCGUAUCUGACCUAGAAAUUACCAGGCACUUGGCUUGCCCCAGUGUGGGGUGAGUCCAUCUGAAGACUGUUUCUAAUUAACUGCCCUAAUGUCCUAGGGAGACGUAUUUCUACAUGUUUCCUGCAGAGCCUCUCAUUAUAAAAUACACUGGUUUCGUUCAGAGACUACUGUGCAGUCCCAGAGUCCUCGCAGCUCUGUCAUUUUAAAAAGUAUCUAACUUUUUUUUGAGUUAAAACUGUUCUAUUAAAGAAUUAUCGGGGGUGGGGGGAGGUGGGGAGAUGGUUCUAAGAAAUAAAGACCUCGCUGUGCAAACAUGAGGAUGGGGGUUCGAUUCCCCCAGAUCCAUGCAAAUGCCACAUCUAUGCAAUUCCCAUGGCAACACACCUCUUCCCCAGGUCACCAAGAGCGAGAACAUAUGGAAGAAACAAUUCCACCCGAGUCCACCUUGGCGGAGCAAUGAGUUUAUUGGUGUUUGUCACAGGAGCGUAGGGGACCAAAAAGCAGCUUUCUGCCUGGAAAGCUCACUCCAGUACAGAUGAGGCUGAAUCCCUGGCACUCCACGCACAUCUUGCAGCCAGCUCCACCCAAAUGUUCCCCUGUCCAGCAGUUGCUUCCUGCUUAUGUAACCUUGGGCAGAGGCCUAUGACUCUUGUUGCUUUUUGUGUCCUGAGAGGAUGCUUCCCUUUGAAGGAAGUAGUUACACAACCCUAGGCAUCACUCCAGCCUCCUGACCCUUGCUCAGGUCACACUGAGUAGUGCAGAUGUGUCCUCCCAGACAGGCAGAGUCAAAUCCUUCUAAUGCUUGUGUUCCUGGGUCCCAUCGCUCGCUUCUUGGCAAGUGAAUAACUUUCUCCAGUCUUCUUUUGUGCAUUGCAAAGUGCCUAGGGACACAUAUGCAAAUUAACUCUCAGCAUCAGCCUGAGAACCUGAGGGGGAAUGUGUCUCAGACUUCCCCAAUCUCUAGAUCAUUGACAUGUCUGCUGGGUAGUUUCGCACUGUAGAAACUGUCCCAUGCUUCAAAGGUCAGUGGCACCCUGGUUCUGCCUUCUGGAAGCCCAUAGUACCUUCUGUACCGCCUGUGACAAUUGAAAAAUUGUCUCCAGAUUUUGCCAACCAGUCCCUGGAGGCAAAGUCUUUCCAGAAUAAGUGAACCAUUGGGUAACCUGAACCGAGGUAGCAGCUGUGUUGCCUUCCAGACAGAAGAUAAAACAACUUUUCAGCACAGACCCUGCUGCGGGUUCCUGUUGUCGCUCACUCCUCCUGUAACCCAAGGGUGUUUCCCGAGCAUACAGCUAACCUUACCAGGCACAGUGGAAGAGCCAGGGAACUCCAAGAUGUGUUUCCUUUCCCAAGAAGCUCACAGUUACUCUGGGGAGACAGGACUGAGCUCUUCGGCAGAAGCAACUGAGACAGCCAUGAGCCAUGAGUCUUGCUGUGUUGAAGGUGAAGACCUCCCCAGAGCAAAGGAGCAGUGGAGCAGCAAGGGAAGGGAUCAGAAGCCACUGAGUCCAGACAAGAGGACCAAGGAGACAAGGCUGAGUCAGGCAGGUGUCAGGAAGGCAGUGCUGUGGACAUCUUCAGGGGUUGGCACUGUAGAUUCAGGGCUGAGCUGGGAAAUGAAGGACAGGUAGGCACUGCCAGUGGCAGGGGCAAAAGCUUGAAGGCUGGACAGAUGGCCUGGGGUGCAAGGGGAGGCUCUCUGACUCAUACCAAGGGACUGAGAUGAUCGUGCUGUGAGUCUUCAAGGGCUGAGUAAAGUGUAGAGGAGGAGGCAGCAGGGUUAAGGCAUUCCUAGGGCUCAUGACCUCCCAUCACAAAUGCAGCAAACUACCAAGACCAAUCAGUCCUGUGCUCAGAGCUGCAGGGUCCAUUGAGCCCUUUGCCUGCCUCCUGGAAGCUGUCACAGGGAGCUAUGACUCAGGGCUUAUCUCUCUCCCAGGUGAGUCACACAUCUGCAAUCUUCUUGCAGUAGGAAUGGCUGCCUGAACUGUCACCUGUGGCCAGCUCAGUCCCCUCAAAACGCCAGGCUCCACCCCUGCUUCCUGGGACACCUGAUCACGCCAGGGCAUCACUCCUUGCUCCCUUGGCAUUUCACACAGUACCAAGGUGUCUCCUCCGCAUGACACCUUACACAUGUCACAUGGCCUGUUGGAUAAUCUGAGCAGUCCCAGUUUCACCUGCCAUAGAGUCCAGAGAUGGGACAUGGUUUCAUGUCUCUCUCCUCCCUCUUUAUACCUGUUCUGAGGAGCUACCACAGUAGUGAUUUCCCCAGGGGAGCAGUAUGAAACAGCCACCUCCUCAGGUCUGGUACCCAUGAGCUGACAGAGAAGCAGGUGGCAGGAUGUGAUCUCCUAGCUGCCAGCAGCCUAAUACUGCUAUUCAGGGACAGGCACUCCAUCACCUCUUUCCUGAUAUCUUGGAGGACAUGCUAAUAUACAUUUGAGAGGUCUGGGUUGACCAGUAGUCCCUGCCUAUGGGUCCUGUAUGGCAAGACAAAGGCUACCCUUAGUAAAGGGUAAAGAGAGUGGAGGACAACCUCAAGCCAACCAAAAGGGAAAACAUAUUAGAAGCAUUGAGGCCCUGAGGACUGUGGAGUAGUGGGACAGUCUCCUGAGUGGUGACAAUGCAUCUACACUCUCUAGUGGGCCAGGCAGUUCCAGGACUGUCCUCUGCUUAUCUAGACUGCUAGUCCCUGACACUGUCUGGAAUCGUUGCUUACCUCAAGCCUACACUUGGCUAUGCUCUGUGAGGAAGCACGUCAGAGCUCUGGAAAGUCAACUUCUUUAACCAGUCGGGAUGGAAAGGGCAGGCGAUGCCACCAUUGCCACUGGCAAGGGAUUGAAAGCCCAAGUCCAUGCUCAGGACUUCCACAGAUGCCUGGAAGCUCGUAUCCUACGUACAAGGACCACAGCAACCGCAUGGCUGUUAUGGAAGUAUACCACCCUGGUCUGAGAGUAUUUUUGUAAUUUGCAGUGGUGCCCAUUCAGUCAGCCCCAGUGAGCACAAGAGCCUGACUUGUCACAGAUGCCAAGCUUGCCACCAGCUCUCUCGGUGUCUUCAUGCCCUUUCCUGAGAGCAGACACAGGCAUCAUAGACCUCUUAGAUGCAUCAGCUUACUCUGGGUCUCAUUCAGUACCAUCUAUCCUAACAGGUUGAAGAGUCUUGGUGCCAAGGAAUGUGUCCUGGGGAGCCUAUAACCCCUCCCAUACUACGAGUCCCGAGUCUCAUACCUGGAGCCUGGAAAGCCCUGUUUAGACAAACAGAACCCUAGACAAUGCCUACCGCAGAUGGGAUCACAGAAUGUCUAGUCUGUACACUCAUGGCACCCCACUCUUGUCUUUUCCAUAUCUUCAUCCAUGGAAUGAUGGGGUGCAUCUGGGAGGAACUGGCAAAGCUUGAAUGUUCAGGCCUUGUAUUAUUUUCUAUGACAACAUAGGAGAAAACAGAAAGGGUGAUCAGGAACAUACUUUGUCCUCUCUGCCUAGGCUCCUUGGGUGACAGGCAGUCUAAACCCCCAUCUAGAAAGACUAGCAAGUUUUCCUGGUCACCAAUGGUAGCUAGCCACAGUGCUGAGAGCAGAGAAUGCAAAGAUAUUACCAAGGGCCGAGACUUAAUUGAAAGGGCAGCUUCGCCAGGGUUCUUUCCUUAGGAGAUGAAAGAAAUCCCACGCCCUUUGUGUGUGCUUCCCAAGCCCUGCCCAUCAGGCAAAGAACAAUGGCUCUGUCUUGCCCUCCUGAGGGCCCAUUACAGCUGUCUUCUCCUGCCCACAUACCUUCCCCUACUUCAUCUCAGAUGUCACCCAGUGGUGGCCUUCCUAAAUCCUGUGAUCUCAAUACACUUUCGUGGCUGCCCCUAUGUGGCCUAGGGAGAGGGCAGAUAUUCUUCUUAGUGGCCAUCUGCUCUCACUUCUCUAUUCUCUUCACCUCCCUCUGUUCCUUGUCCCUCGGGUGCCUGUGCUCUGCCGACACUCCCUGUCCCUGUCUAGUCCUCUCCCAGAUCAUAUGGGCCUAACCUGUUGGCUCCCAUGAGGCUCAGGAGUGCU